ACUGCCCAGCUUGGAAACAGCCUCGAGGGACAGAGGGGAAAAUGUGAGGCUAGUCCUUGCCUAAGAAAAGGGGAGAGGGUCAUCCAAAACAGAGCUCACCGGUUACGUGUGUGUCAUCCUGACCACAUCAAAGUUAAAUGACAUUGGCGUUAACUCCUUCAGCCCAGGAUGCGGUUUCGCGCACUAGUUGGAAGCUGAUGCUCAGCUGUACACCUUGGCCUCUCCUCUGUCUUGAUGAAUGGCCCCGUCCACUCCUUUCAAGGUCUCCUCCCCUCAGCCUCAGCUGGUCAGGUCUGUGUGCCCGGCCCUCACUGAAAGGCCAAACUUACUUGAAAAGGCAGUCAGCACAGGUGAAGCAAUGUGAUCCGCGAGGCGCACACACAUGUUUGAAAUCAAGUUCCUCUCAUCCUUUGGCGCGUUCUCACGAGCAGUUGCAAUGGAUUGUCUCUCUCCGGAGCCCCCUGUGUGUGGCAGCUUCCCACUUGUUCUUUGGGUGAGCUUUUUUCUUGCUUUUUACUCUCUGGGACAAUAAAAAUACCUCUCAAAAUAAAAU